AGAGUUUGAUCAUGGCUCAGGACGAAUCGCUGGCGGCGUGCCUAAUAUCAUGCAAGUCGAGCGAGCGGAACCAACAGAUUUAUCUUCGGUAAUGACGUUGGGAAAGCGAGCGGCGGAUGGGUGAGUAAUCAUCGUGGGGAAUCCUGCCCCUAAGUCUGGGAUACCAUUUGGAAAUCAGGUGCUAAUACCGGAUAAUAAAGCAGAUCGCAUGAUCAGCUUUUGAAAGGCGGCGUAAGCUGUCGCUAAGGGAUGGCCCCGCGGUGCAUUAGCUAGUUGGUAAGGUAACGGCUUACCAAGGCGACGAUGCAUAGCCGAGUUGAGAGACUGAUCGGCCACAUUGGGACUGAGACACGGCCCAAACUCCUACGGGAGGCAGCAGUAGGGAAUCUUCCACAAUGGACGCAAGUCUGAUGGAGCAACGCCGCGUGAGUGAAGAAGGUUUUCGGAUCGUAAAGCUCUGUUGUUGGUGAAGAAGGAUAGAGGUAGUAACUGGCCUUUAUUUGACGGUAAUCAACCAGAAAGUCACGGCUAACUACGUGCCAGCAGCCGCGGUAAUACGUAGGUGGCAAGCGUUGUCCGGAUUUAUUGGGCGUAAAGCGAGCGCAGGCGGAAAAAUAAGUCUAAUGUGAGAGCCCUCGGCUUAACCGAGGAACUGCAUCGGAAACUGUUUUUCUUGAGUGCAGAAGAGGAGAGUGGAACUCCAUGUGUAGCGGUGGAAUGCGUAGAUAUAUGGAAGAACACCAGUGGCGAAGGCGGCUCUCUGGUCUGCAACUGACGCUGAGGCUCGAAAGCAUGGGUAGCGAACAGGAUUAGAUACCCUGGUAGUCCAUGCCGUAAACGAUGAGUGCUAAGUGUUGGGAGGUUUCCGCCUUUCAGUGCUGCAGCU
rnacentral:rRNA from 1 species